rnacentral:tRNA from 1 species
GCCUCGAUAGUUUAAUUUGGUAAAACUCCCGACCGAUUAUCGGGCAAUUCUAGUUCAAGUCUAGAUCGAGGUACCA